UGGAGAGCUCUACCGGCAUAUCCGCAAUGGUUUUGAUGUGGGCUGCACAGUACAUGGACUGUCCGAAAAAAAAUAAUGGUGCCAAAGCUAAAAAAAAACGUCGGAAGCGAGAAGAAGUUCCUUCUGUCAUUUUGUCAAUAGAAAUCUGGUCCGGCCAAUAGUAUAUCUACCGUGGUGUACACAUAACGGCCCUUGGCAUAAAAAUACCAGCAGCCAGCCACCGAUCGGUUUGCCGGCACAUGAUAUCCAGCGAUUAUGAGCUGUCACUUCUUUGAAAAGGUGGGAGUAAUGUUGCUCGCAGCAUUGGGCCAUUCGCGUGAUCCCUAGGAUUCACGUACUUCUCCCGUCCUAACGCCUACGAGUAGAUAUGCCGUCAAGUAUCACUAGAGCUACCUGUUGAGACCUAUUUUACUGCCAUAAAAUUUAGCG
rnacentral:sRNA from 1 species